UUACGAACCAAGAAAGGAUUAAACUAAUUGGAGAAGGGAUACUAGUUUUGGCAAAGAAAAAAUAUUCAAAUUAAAAGACACGGCUAUUUCCAAAAGAAGUUAAAAGACAAAAUCUUUUAACUCAACCAACUUAUGAAAUUCAAAUUUUGUUUUAAUUUCUUCGUUCUAUAUCAUUUCAAGAGCAACGAUAUAAUUUCUUCAUUCAUACUCCAACAUAUUUAACUUCAUCAUUAUUCAAUAUAUGCUAGUGCACAUUACAUAAUUAAGACAGCAAACAUUAUACAACAUUACACUCACAAACCACUACUAAAUUUACAUAUUUAUUGGCAUCAUAUUCAUCCACGAAGUUGUAUAUAUAACGCGUAAAUGCUACACUUUGUCGAGCUAGAUUCAGCAUGGAGGCUUAAUUUAAGGUUGUGCAUCCCUCAUUCCACCAGCAUUUUUGCUGCCUCCUCCACCUCCGGAAGAACCUCCUUUUGUAUAGCCUGCAGGAUAACCUCCACCUCCAGGAUAGCCUCCUGGAUAGCCUCCAGGAUAGCCUCCUGGAUAUCCUCCAGGAUAGCCUCCUGGAUAGCCUCCUGGAUAGCCAGGCCACCAACCUCCAGGUCCUGGCCAAUACUCUUAUUAACAAACACAUUAACACAAUUCAUGUUAGCCAUUAAUACAUGUAUACUAUAUUAAUUUAUGCUCAUCAUAAAACAAAGUUAUAAAAUACAGAACUUACGAUGAUCUGCUGUCGCUUUUGAUGUAAUCAGAAGAACUACAGCCAAGAAAAUGCAAAAAGUAAUUGUCUUGGAGCCCAUUUUUCUCUCCAAGAAUUUUCUUAUACUUUUUCUUAAUGAGUAUUUUGGUGUGUCAAGCCUCUAUUUAUAGCUAAAAUCUGGACAGAAAAGAGAGAGAGAGAGAGAGAGAGAGAGAGAGAGAGAGAGAGAGAGAGAGAGAGAGAAAUUUGCUAUUUGAGGUAAGUAGAGUAUGUCUUGACUUGGUCUACCUUAUCCUCAACCUGUCGGGGUUUACUUGUUUUCAUUAGGGGGAAAUAGAGAUGAUCAUGUAGUGCCGAAUUUUGCCAACCGUCGAAAUUUAAUAUCAUAAAUAAGUUAAUGUAACAUGAUGAAGUGCCUAAUUUAUUGUCAAUAUAUCCUAUAACUUAGUCGAGAAUAGUCUGCAUAAAAAGGCCUCUUCUAUGUGAUCUAAUACCAUAUUUUUCUAUUUUCUUUUAGUUUAUUUCAGAAAAUUGGCGCAGAUCGUUGUGCUGCGGAUUAUUUGCACUGCAACUUCAUAGGUUAGAGGCCAUUUGCGUCAAUUAUCGGUUUGUUUCUAGUGACCCCAGAAAUCAGGUCGUCUGCGGUCGCGUUAGGGUAGGCACAGUAAAUAGAUUGUCAUUUAGCAGAUGAUAUCCAUUCAAAUGGACAAAAGGUCAGAUGGGUCCGAAUUCAGUAACUGUUGUUUAAAGCUAUUCAUAUUAAAUAAAAUAAUUUUUUUUUUUUUUAGUAAUAUUAUUUGUAAUCACUCACUGUCGUAAUCAUCCUACGUGACAUACAUGUGGUGGUUACUAAUUUGAUACAUUAAUGUGAUAUUGUUUUAUGUAUCAAAUCACAAACCAAUACAUAUUUACCAUGUACAGCGACUGCGAUAAUAAACAGCAACUACAAAUAGCAUUAUUCCUUUUUUUUCCCAUUUCACAAUCAAACUUGAGUGAGAUAUUUCUAGCACAAUUCUCACGGUUUGAAGGUCCACUCUGUUGAUAGAGAGUCAUGCUUGAUUUUGAACCAGUUGCCAGUUAAUCUUAUCAACAAUUAUAUGGUUCAUAUACCAUGCAAUUUACUCAUUUCAUCCAAAAUAGAAUAUCAAAAUAAAAUCGAUUUCCCAAAGAUCGACAACGUCUAAGCGUCCAAAGCUCGACCAAAAGAAAAUGAUAGGGAUUAAAUUGAUCGAAAUUAGAAGUUGUAAAAACUAAUGGGACUAAAUUAAAUUUAUUUGGAAGAUAAUGGUUUAAAUAAAUUAUUAAGGGUUGGAAUUAAUAAUCCAUGAUUUAACUCAAAAUAGGUUCAAGGGCCAAAAACUUCGAAAUUAGAAUUUUUGGACAACUUCAUUCAUGAUCGAACAGUCAGCUUGAAGACACGAUUACGACUUGUAAAUUGAGAGUUAACUCUGAAUGUUAGCUCAUUUUUAAAAUUCAUUACGAGACCAGCGAUUUAAUAUCAAUAUUGAAUAUUUUUCAUCUCACCAAAUAGCGACAAAACUAAUGCCGAAGUUGAACUCGAAAUCUGGAAUUGCUGAAUCUUUUUGUGUUCAACAUUUUAUGCACACCGGAAAAACAAGAAAGUUUAGAUGAAAGUUGAAAUUACAAAUAUUUCAAAUUUCACCUUUUCUUUUUCAAAAAGCCGAAAAAUCUAAGACAGUUCAAAAAUUCUAUCUUCUUCAUGAUUACAAGAAGGGAAAUUUUGAAAGAACAUGAACUAAGAUUCAUUAAACAAAAAUGAAACCUUUUUGGAAAGAAACGGUAAGAGUAAAGGAAAAUGAUAAAAACUUAUAAUCCCUCAGUCCCACAAAGAGAGGCUUCCUUCCAUUAUUACAAAGAUAAAAAAAAAUUCUUAUUGUUUAAAAAAUAAAAAUUGAUGUUGGUGGACUUCCAAUUUUCUUAUUUCACCUGUGUUUUUGCUCAUUGCUACCACAGCACGUCUGUUAAGGCUGCAAUUAAGUAGCGAGAAGAGAAGAGAGGAUGAUUAAAGAGAGAAAGUGAUUCGAAUGGGUUUCUGCAAUAGAGUGAGAGAUUUGCGUGUGUGGGAAAUGGGGACAGCUCGUUGGGUGUCAAAAGGGAGAGAAAAAAGAAAAUCAAAAAAUAACUAUUUGCUAACACGUGUCAAAAUGACAUGUUAUGCGAUCAUAAGCGGGGAAAAAGAGGAGAAAAAAAUAAAGGAUUAAAUUGUAACAUUGUCCGCGCAACUGAAUUAACUUCAAUUUUUGGGUGAGACUUACUAAUAAAGUUGGAAGAAUCCAUAUGUACAUAUUUUAAGUUUACAGAAGUUGCACAAACUCAUGUGUGUGGGCUUUACAGUAUAUAAAAUAUUCCAAAAAUAUUGUGGGCCUCAAGAACUGUGAGAUUUCUGUACCCAUUCUGUAUAAAAUUUUUCUAUACGUGUAUAACAGCCCAAUAAAGUUUCCUUUUCUUACAUUAUGGCAGCAUGGGUACUUGUCUGCAUUUAAUACAUUUAAGCAUUUUGUUACUUUCUUUGUACGUAUUGAUAGAGCUUGAAGCGUCAACUGACUUGAAGAUGAAGUUGAAAUUUAAAAAGGUUGAACUUCAACUUUAAGGACCCCCACCGUUCCGUCCUUGGAGUAUUAUGAGAGAGGUAAAUCGAGGGAUGUGACUCAACAGACCAGGGAAUAAGAACUUGUCUGUACACUGAUAUCCACAAAGAGUCCAAUUCUAUAUUUCGGGAGUUGAAAUUUAAAGUGUAUGUGAAGUUGAUCAUUAUAAUUUACUCGGGCAAGGACUCGACCCUUUUUCUUUCAAAAUUGACACUUAUUAAGCCCCCGUUUGUUUUCGAUUAUUUACUAAUUAAAAUGAAAAAUAUAACCAUUAUUCAUCACAUCAAGCCACCAUAUUUGACUUUUUAUCUCUUGUGUGGGACCCGUAACGACUAUAUUUUUCAUUCUCAUUUUUACAUUAUUAUGUACCAAACAGGGCCUAAACCUUUCUUUUUGAAACCGUAUAUUUAUACUCUUUUCAAAUAAAUUGGUGAAUUAUGGUGUUACUGAUAGCAAAAAGUCAUGUUAAAUUCUUCUCAUGAACUCUAAUUAUUGUUUUAUUUUUUAUUUUUAUGAUCGUGGGUGUACAGGCCAACUUACACGCACCUCAACUAAUUUCACGGGACCCUAAAGUUUACGGCCGGCAUAAACUCUAACUAUUAGAAGAUGCAAGAAUGUCUAAAGAACCCAAAGGAGCUCGUAAAAUCACUUGAGAUGAUUUUGCGAAUGGGUUUAGUGACUUACGAGAUGCUAUUCUUUGCCAUAUUUUAUCAUUUCUGAACACAAAAUAUGUGGAGGCCACUCUAUACAACUCAUCAGAUUUAAGGACCUUUUUGUUUCUGUCCUUGACAUCCUUCUUGAAUUAGUCGUUGCGGUAGAAAUUGCAAGGUGUAGUCUUAGACAAAUUAUGCUACGAAAUGUGCCUCAAAUCAUUUAAUUUCGUUUUAAAUGCAAUUUCACUUUUAAUGAUUCUGCAAUCAAAACUCUAGCAUGUGCUGCAAUAUGGCAAAGUUUUAAACAUGUUGAUAUUUGUGUGAGGUAAAAUCACUAGAAUAUUAUCAUCUGAAUUCUAUAUCACUGGUUGUCUUGAAGCUAAGAGGGUCUUUGAAUUUACACGUCCCAUAUAUGAUCUCCUCACCCAAUUUAAAGGAGAUUCUCUUCGAAGAUUUCACAUUAGCAAGUGAUGAUUUAAUGAGAAGAUUGUUCAAAGUUAUAAGCUACUUGAAGAUUUGUCGCUAUUUGGGUAGAGAUUUGAGCAUGUUGAUGUUCUUUAUCUUUCACUCCUUUCCUUCGAAAACUUUCUUUCGAUCACAGUUUUGGACACAAGAAACUAAACUUGUAAUUGAUACAUUAGAAGAACUAAAGCCUCUUGCAAGAGCGAAUAUUUCUUUGCAAAUGACUGCGUAAAAUCAAGAGAACGUAGAUGAGUUUAUCAAUGGGAUGCAUGAAAUCAAAUCAAUUUAUUUAUCAUUUGUAAUCUAGAGGUAAAAAAACUAAGCUUUAUUAUCUACUCCACAACGUAUUAUGAGUAUAGAAAAAUUUAUAUUCAAAUUACAAAUACAUCUACUAAACUACCUUUGACUGUGUUUGAUCACGUCCAAGUGCAAUAGUUAUGCUUGCGUCUAUCAAACUCUAUAGCAGCCCGUUCUAAAUAGCUCAGGCACCUAUCUAUGUUAGUUCGAAAAUUUGGGCCCACAAACUGGAACAGUUUUACAAAAAUGACGACAAUCAUUCAUGAUUUUGAUCAUCAUGAGUAUAUAUAUAUAUAUAUAUUAGGAUGGCAAAAAAAUUCUAUAAAACCCGAUAUCUGUGAGGUCCCACCCCAAACCAAGCAGGAAUUACCCGCUUAAUCCGAUAUUCAAGUCGGGUACGGGACGGGGGAUUUCCCUAUGUUUAACUUUUUUUAUUUUUUUAACGGGGAAUUUCGCUCUACUUAAAUUUUUUUUUUAAGAAUUCAAUAUUUUAAAAGGAAAGCUCCACGAAAUUUUAUUAAUUCUAAUAAAAGAUAUAAACUAAAAUUAUCUAAAAAAUAUGAUAAACAAUAAAAAUCUUAAUUUACUAAAUAUAUUCGAAUAAUUUAACUUUUAAAAAUAAACUAAUUAAUUAAAAAUUUUAAUAACUAUAUUAUUGUCUUACUUUAAUAAAUGGGAGCAAUAAAAUUGAUUAUAAAAAAAAAAAGACUAAACAAGUAUGUAAACGAGACAAGGGCCCAAACCCGCCCCGCCCUACCCCACCUUAAAUGCGUAAUAGGGUGGGUACGGGCCCUGCCCCGACUUGAAUUUGCCCCGUUACCAUCCAUAUUAUUUGUUUUAUUGCACUUUAUAUUGUAUUAAUUUUUCUGAAGAUAUGUCAACAUAACAUGAUAUUAGGAUAGAUACGACCAGCGACGGAUCCAACACCCGGUGAGGGGGUGCGGUUGCCCGUGCUGGAUCCAUUGGUAGUUUCACUUGCCGUCGGGCACCAAGAGAGAAGCUUUCAUAGUUGCAAAGAAGUCACAAAUUGAAACCAUGGAGGCGGGAUUUUGGGAAGAAGAUAGACAACCAUGGGUUAUGUUUUUUAUUUUUUUUAUUUUGGGCCUCCUAUUAAGCUGUUGGUUUUUUAAAAAGUGGAAAUUACACAAAUUAAUAGAUUUAAAGAUCCCAUUUCAUAAAUCAUAGGUGAAGUUUACUAUUUCAAAAAUCAGAUAUUUUAUUAAUUAAUUAGUAUAUUUUAAAUAUUAAUAAUUAUAUUACAAAAUUAAAUAUACAUAUUCAUCCUACCAAACCCUAAAUUCAUCUUCAUUCAUCCCUUUCAUUUUCUCUCUCUAUAUCUCACCUCCGUCUUCGUUCCUUUCAUUUUUUGUCUCUAAAUUCAUAGGCCGUCAAUUCGUCAAACUAGAAUAUAAUACAAUUUAAUUAUUAAUUGUGGAAUAUUAAAUAACUCGAUUCAUCAAUUUUUGCAAUUUUAGCCUCUUAGGAGAGAAAUGAUUACCUUUGAAAUCAAUGCGACGUUUCAUUGUGAUCGACGAAGGUGAUGGUGACUUGAACAAGUCAAGAACAGAGAUCGGACUUGGUUGCAGUCAUUUUGGCUGUGCUAUUGAGCAAUUUAUCACACCUAUCUAGAAACAAUGGAAGAUUCAUCCUCUAUGACGAUGGUGGUGAUUUUCUCUUUCCGACGACUCUCCACUGUGGAUUUCUUAUUCCUAGUCGAUCAAUUCAUGACGGUUUGAAGUGAUCCUCUUUUUCUUGUGUCCAACUUCGGCGAGUGAAUGUGAGAAAGUCUAAUUCUUUGUUGACUCGUUAGCUCUACUACGAGUUUCAGCGUUUAACGGCUUAGGUUUGUUGAGCGAGUUUGACCGCUUCUCAUUACUCUUACUCCAAGCUAGUGCGCUUGAGCUUCUAGCUUGCCUCGUAGGGCUCCUAACUUUUUUCAUUGAUCACAAGUCAGCAGCAGUGAUAUGGUGGUCACAAGUGUUGUGGUGAUCACAAAUUAUUUGGUUGACUGUGACCAUUAAAGUAGUUAAUAUGUGACCAGUAAAAAAUAUGUGGCUAAUAAAAAAUAUAAAUUGUGACCAAAAAAUAACGUGUGACCUAAGAAAUUGUUAAUAUGUGGCCGAUAAUUUAAUAAUUUUUUACUUUGUAAUAAGUUAUGACUUAUAAUAUUUGUAAUUUGUGAUCAAUAAAUAAACUGUGACCCAUAAUUUUGUUCAUUUGUGAACGAUGGACAAACUGUGACUUAUAAAAAUUUUAAAUUCUGAUCGUAAAAUAAUUUAUAACAUAAAAAUUUUGAUUUUGUGACUAAAAAAUAAUAAGUGACUAACUAAGUCAUUAAUUUGUGAUCAAAUUGUAUAAAUUUGUGACUUAAAUAAAUUUAAUUAAUUAAUUAAAUCAUAAAUAAAUUUUAAUAAAAAUCUGAUUUUUGAAGUUUGAAACUUGUUUCUUGAUUUUGAAAUGUGUGAUACUUAAACUUUCUCUAUUAAGAAAUUAGGCCCAAUUUUGAAAGAAAUGGAUUUGGGCCGGUGAUUGAUUUUUGAAAAGAAAUUGUAAGCUCUUCCAAAUUGUUUGGAAAACCUUCCUCUAUGAUGUGGUGAUCAACAACUUUGAAGUAUCUUUAUAUUCUUGAGCAACCCUGGGUCACGCCUACUAUUGAAGAUCACUCCUUGAAAACAGAAACAACAUAUCUCGCAACUUUGAGUGUUGAAGGUGAGUAAUCUGCUUGAUGAUUUUGGGAUUUUCUUGAAUCUGUUAUUUGGGGAGUUUGAUUUUGGACAAAAUGUGUUUGAGAGGAAAUAAGGGUUUUGAUAAAGGGCUGCAAUUACAAGGUUUUCCAUGAUUUAUUGUGUAUUAAAGUAGUGCUUUCUUUUUUUUUUUUUUUUCUUUUUUUGAUUGAUUCGUGCCGUCAAACAUUAUAAUAAAUGUGUUGGGGUUUUUUUUUUUUCUUUUUUUGAUUGAUUCGUGCCGUCAAACAUUAUAAUAAAUGUGUUGGGGUUUUUUUGUUUUCAUUUUUUACUGCUAAAAUUGCAGCAAAUCAUUAUAAUAAAUGUGUUGGAAUAUCUCGCGAUUUUGGCUCAUUGUUCAUUUCAAUUUAUCUCUCUUCUGGCAUCUUUACACUUUUGUUUUAAUGUAUAUGCAUUUUCAUAGUUCUGAUAGAUGUCUUAAUAGUGUGGUUGGUUGAUAGAGUGGAUUGGAUUGACCGGUCACCAGAUGAUCUUAAGAAAGAAAACAAAAAAACUAAAACUUUGUCCCUCGUAUUGUUAAAUGUAUCCAGUUCUGUGCACCAAAAAUUUUCUAUUCACCAGCAAUUUCACCAAUGCUGUCAAUUUUUUCUUGUUCCUUUAAGUCAUGAAGGGGAAUUUAUCAGAAAAAAUUUCUCCGAUUUGCCGUAGCUAAACUCGAAUCCUAGAUACGACCAAUAUAAAUUGCAAAUAAACCCAAAAGGCCCAUUAUAUGUCUCAUCGUUUCUCACUGAAUAUUGGCGUUAUUUGCUAUAGCUGCUAUAAUGGAUCUGCCUGUUAGAAUGUGUGGGGUAAAUUUUUGUUAGAUAAAUUUUUCAAUAAUGUAAAUAUUGAUUAUGGCCUUGAUAUUUCCUUUAUACAUUUUCUUUUAUUGAGAUAUAUAUUGGUUGCACUGGCCUUCCCAUUGAUGAUCUUGAUUCUUGAAUAAUUCUUUAUUGACUAUAAUGCACAUUUUUCUUGAGGUAAUCUAUGAUUUAUAAUUACAUGUAAAAAUAUAUAUAUAUUGAUAUUCUACGACAUUGACAAUUACAAUAAAAUAAGCAUUCAACAAUUUUAUGUCAUCCCCAUUCCGAUGAUCUUCGCUCAAAACUUGGAUUCACUCCCUUAUUAUUCUUGUUUGAAUAUCUUUACUAUGUGAGAUUCCCUUAUUUUUAGGAAAAAUUGUAGUCAAUGUACCAAACCUUUACUUUAUUUGCAGACUUUGUUCGAACAUUUCAUUUGUGUCACCGUAAGUACCCAAGCUUUAAAAAAUCUGCACUUGGAUAGAAACCGUUACUUUUUCCAUUGAUUGACCAAAAAUUAAAUGUCUGACCAUUGUUGACUAAUUUUCAAGAGCAAAAAGGUAACUUUACAUUUUUUUUCAUACAAAAAAGCUAAAAUAAAAGGAAUUAAAUAAAUAAAUAAAUCAUAUUAUCUUCUCUACUCACCCACCCCCUUCCUGAAACCAAAACCAAGAGCACGAAAACGCCGACACCCAGCACCUUCGUCUCCAACCUUGCUUGGCAUCACCAUCCAACAAUCACCAAUCGAAUCUUCUCCCAGGAGGAUAAACGCCUUCAAUCAAAACCCAAGCAUUUAUCCUAAUAUAAACUCAUGCAUAACUUUCUUGGAAACCCAUCUCUAGUUUUGAUUCAGAAUUUGGGGAAAUUAAGGAAAAAUGAUGACAACUGAAGGGAUGAUGGAUAGAAUGGGUGUUGGAUGAUAUAAUAAGGGGGCUUUUGGAAGGCAGGNNNNNNNNNNNNNNNNNNNNNNNNNNNNNNNNNNNNNNNNNNGAAUAGGUGCAGCUUUCAAAGGUGGAGAUCUGGCAACUUUCGGAGGCAGAGAUGAUUGGAUAAAUUUCUAUCUUAAACCCAUCUCAACUGCCAUACUACAAAUUCUUCAUACAGUGAACUAAGAGCUACAAUUGAAAAGUGAAGGAAUUGUGUAAUUUUGUCUUUGCCUUCCUCAACAAAACUCUGCAAUACUAUGUCCAUGUCUGAAAUCUAGAUUUCAAACUCUACAUUUCCUUCUCAAGAUUUGUAGAAGGAGUGGUGGUGUCGAUGGAUUUGGUGGCAAUCAUGAUUGGUGGAUUUGAAGGUGGAAGGUGGCAGUGGUCCGAUGGCUGUGAUUUCGGAAAGAAGAAGGGUCUUCCCUUUUCUAUUAUACUUUUUUUUAUAUUUGUAUUAAUUAUUACAGCAUUACCUUUUUGUCCUUGAAAAUUAGUCAACAAUGGUCAGACCUUUAAUUUUUGGUCAAUCAACGGAAAAAGUAAAGAUUUUUGUCAAUUUGGAUUCCAAGUGCAGAUUUUUUAUAGAUUUGGUAUUCACGGUGGCACAAAUGAAAAGUUUAGACAAAAUCUGCAAACAAACAAAAGGUUUGGUACCUUGACUGCAAUUUUUCCUACUUUUUAUGCUUGAUUUAAGGAUAUUUUUAUAGAAAAAGUACAUAACUACAUUACUUUAAUUAUUCAAUUUCUUAUUUAACAAACUUACAAAAAUAUUUCAAAAAUCAGAUGAUAAAUUAUAUUAAUUUAUUAUAUUUUUCUAAUAUUGUAGUAAAUGAAAUUUAGGAAUAUUAGUCUAAUUUACAAUAUUUCCAUUAACAAUAUCGUAUCAUAAUAUACAAUAAUUUAACUAUUAAGAUAAUUGUUUCUCUCACCUCCAACUUUCUUUCUUUUACAGAGACUCUCUUGGGGUUCCAAAACUAUGAAAUUUUUUUUGCAAAAAUCAGGCAAUCAAAUUUUGUAACAUCUGAUAAAAUUGGUAACAUAUAAUUAAAUUAAACAGGCCGCGAUCCCAAUAAGUCAAUAAAUUAUAAUUUACCGUCACAAUGCAAAUAACACACAAUCACAAAAAUAUAAUUUGUAUAUCAUAAUUACAAAUUUAGUUGUAAAUUACUCACUUUUAUUUGUCACGAAUUAUCAAAUUAACUCGUUACAAUCACUAUUCAUCGCACCCUAUCCUAUUUCAUCACCAUUGACACCACCCAAAUCAUUGUUACUACCUCAAAUCUACAACCUACAACCACUUUCACAUUCACCUCAAAUCCACGAAAACCGAUGACAUCUCAACCUCCAUUGCCGCCGCCACCACCCUUCGUCGCGGGAAAAAAAAACUAAUGCAAAAACCACCAAAAAGAUCAACAUUUUAAAUUAUCUAGAAAUAUGUCAAUAAUUAUUCGUAGUUAUGAAUAGUCAUCAAAUCUGGUGUUAAUGUAGCAUUAUUAUUUGCCCAAGGCACUUCAAAUCUGGUGUUAAUGCUGCUAACGUCGAUGAUAACUUUUUUCUCUUGAAUUGAUUUCAACAAAAAGCUAUAGUGCAAUACGUAUGACGAUGUUGAAACAACUAUAGAGCUCCUCUAGGUAAGGGAGCUCAAUAUGAUUGCCUUCAUUAUAUAUAUAUAUAUAUAGAGAGAGAGAGAGAGAGAGAGAGAGAGAGAGAGAGCGUGCAUUUGUUGAGAAAUAAAGUGUUUAGUAGAGAGAGUUGAUAAUAAUGUAGCCAAAAAGUAUUUUUACAAUGGAAUGGACCGCGGAUAGCAGAGAAUAAUCUUGCAUAGGUACUUACGUAUAAUAAAUAUCACUACAAUAUAAAAGAGUCUAACCCUUUGGCACUGUUCAUUCCGGACACAUGUCUCAAUUUCCCGUUGUUCAAGCAUUAUGAUGUCGUUAGGAGAAAUUUUAAAGUUGCCCUAAUUGCUCUCCUUCAAGGCAAUAAAUCCUCUCAUCUCUUGCUCUCUUCCAGAGGAAAUGACUCCGGUCACUAUUUCUCGGCAACAUAAAUAAGCCGUUGUUGCCUCAUCGUCAUAAUCACCACCAGGGAAGGAGUCACCUCAAGUAGACAAUCAACUACUUGAUUCAGAUUUUAUAGUGAUACUAUUGACACUUCUCUUCAUACUAAUCUGUGUUCUUGGCCUUUUCGUCUAUUGAUACUAUCGAAAAUUCCGCUCUCCAUCAUCGUCUGUCUCUCCGCCACUACCUUCUCCUUAAGUGUCAUCGAUGCCUCUACCAUGUGAGCCCUUCCUUUUCUUUUUUAUUUAUUUUUUUGAGCUUUUAGUAUAUUUUUAUAGAUUUAGUAUUGUCAUUUGUGAACUAUGAUGAAUAAUGAAAUUAAUGAUGAAUUUUCAAUGAGUUGUUUGGAAUUCUAUGAAUUUCAAAGGAAAUGGAUUGUAUGGAAACCGUGGGUUUGGGUUGGUUUUGAUUCCCAUGUGCGAAAAAUGGUGUUUCUCGAAACACUCUAAAAGAGUGCUAUUUCUGUUAAUUGGUCUAUUUCGUCUAUUUAAAUAAACCUGCCUAAUGGGCAAAUAUUGGUUGGCCGGUUGAUGAUCACUCGGACUGCGCUAGUUUAGACCCUUUUUGGACCGUUAGAUUUAAUCAAGGGUUGAGAUGAUGCCAUGGAAAAUGAAGCGUCCUUUUUCUUGCCCAAAAGUUAUGAGGCUUUGUGAUACUUCAGAUUUUUCAUCUUCUCUCUUCUUCGUCUUUUUGGGUUUGAAAUUUUUCUUCUCUAUUUAUAAGGUUUUUGCGAUUGAUCAAAUAGAUUUUUUAGGUCUUGUGUACAAUCAGGCUUGAGAUAUUGGCUGAUCUUGUAUUGUUAAACUCUGAAAAUGUUUGGUUGAUUUGUUUGGUAGAUUUGUGUAUGUUUCAUGAGAUCGAUUCGAUCAAUGAGUGAAACCUUGUGGCCUGAAUGGUUCUUGGUGUACUCUUGCUCUCUUGAACGGUAGAUUGUGCCAUAGUGGAAUGGGCUGUCCCUGAGCCCCCAGAUUAGGCCUAUUUUGGCUUAAUUUGGUCAACAUUUUUUCGUGUUCUUGUGUUCGUUUUAUGAUUCUUUGUGUAUGAUGUUUGUUUUUAUUUCAAAUCUUUUUAAAAAUCAACAGUAAAUUCCCAAAAAAAUUGGUAUCAAAGCCUCAAGGUUUCUGGGUUCAAUAUUUUUUUGUGAAACAUCUUUUCUGGGUCAUUUUGGUUCUUCAAUCUGUGUAGAUCUUUUCUGAUCUACACACAUACAGUUUGGUAUCUUGUCUAUUUUUUUAUAAAUUUGUUUACUAAUCAGUUUGUUUUUGUAAAAGUAAUGAAGGUGACAAACAGAGGCUUUGGUUGUUGGUUUGAUUUCAUGCAUUGUAUCAAUAAUAUUGUCUCGACAGUAUUGGUAAGAUCUGUCCAUAAUACUUUGUGAUUUCAAUUGGACAUUUAUUGUUUGGAAUACAUGCACAUAUCGAUAUAUGUUGUUCUGGAUUUUGUGAAUUAGUAAUAUAUAUAUAUAUAUAUAUAUAUAUAUAUAUAUAUAUAUAUAUAUUUAUAUAUUGAGCCUGUUUUGUACCUUGAUAUAUAUUUGACUGGAGUUCUUGUAUAUCUGAUUAAAUUGGUAUAAAGAUAUACUAUCGAAUACUUGCUCAAUCUCUAAAAAGUUUUUUGGAACUUUGGUUUCUUGAAACUAUUUACUAUAAAAAAAAUUCAAAAACCUUUUUUACAAAAUCCAUGAGUUUAAGCCAAUCUUUUACAAAAUCUAUAAUGGGUUUGAAGGUCAAAUUGUUCCAUUUCAAUGGAAAUGGGGAUUACUCUGUAUGGAAGCAAAAAAUGGGAGCCAUCUUGGUCCAACAGAGGGUUGCAAAGGCUCUCGAUGAUCCUGAAACUUUUUCUUUUAAGUUAAAAGCAAAACCUGCUAAAAUUGAAGAAAUGAAUGAAAUUACCUAUAGCUCUAUAAUUUUGCAUUUAUCUGAUAAUGUGGUUAGACAAGUUAAUGAUUCCAAAACUGCAAGAACUUUGUAAAAUGCCUUGGAUGAUUUGUUUUAAACCAAGACUCUUCCUAACAAGAUAUAUUUGUUAGAAAAACUAUUCAGUUUCAAAAAGGACCAAGAAAAGGAUUCGGAAGUCAAUUUAAGUGACUUCAGCAUAAUUGUUAAAAGUCUUGCACAAAAUAAUAAAAAAAUUGAAGAUGAGGACUUGGCUGUUAUACUAUUGAAUUCACUGCCUGAAUCUUAUAAAGAUGUUAAGAAUGCCAUAAAAUAUGCUAGGAACACACUUACACAAGCAAUUGUGAUCGAUACCUUAAGGUCAAGAGAGUUAGAUGUGAGGAGAGAAAAUAGAACCAACUCAGUAGAAGGAAGCUUAUUUGUAACGGAAGAACUAAAAAGAAAGGAUUUAAUUUCCAAAACAAGAAGGGAAGGGAAAGAUCUAAAUCCAAAGAUAGAAGUAAUAAGAAGUGUUAUAACUGUGGAAAAUUGGGACACUUCAAGAGGGAUUGUUUUGAGUGAAAAAAGAAACAAAAAGAUCAGAACAAUAAUGAUCAGAAUAAUGAAGCCAGUGACUGACUUGGACAGUCUACAUGUACUAAAUGUGUCAACUGAAAACUCUAGUAAAGAUUGAAUUCUAGAUACUGGAUAUACCUUUCAUAUGUGCCCUGAAAAACAUGGUUUUAUAAUUACAAUGAAAUAGAACUAGGAAAAGUGUAUACGGGAGAUAAUAAUUCUCGUAUUGUGAUUGGCACUGGUGACAUUGCUAUAAAAAUAUUUGAUGGCAUUGUCAAGUCAAUAAAAAAUGUGAGAUAUAUCCCAAAUCUGAAAAGGAGCCUUAUUUCACUAGGGAUACUUCAAUAUGAGGGAUAUAGCUUUAAAUCUGAUAAUAAAACUCUGAAAAUUAUGAAGGACUCUUUAGUAGUGAUGAAAGGACCUAAAAGAAAUGGUUUAUACUAUCUAGAGGGAAAAAAUAGUUAUAUCGCCUUAUUCAAAUGUAUUGACUGUAAAUGAAGAUAAAUCUGGUCUUUGACACAAUAGAAUGGGACACACUGGAAAUAAAUGGCCAAAAUCUUUAAGUAAUCAAAAAUUACUUGGAAACGAUGACAUUGAGCCCAUAGACUUUUGCGAGACUUUUGUGUUGGGUAAGCCCAACAAAAUUAGUUUUGAAUCCAGCUCACAUGGGACCAAUAGGCCCUUAGACUAUGUACAUGCUGAUCUCUAGAGUCCUGAAAAGCAUUCCACUUUUGGUAGAAGUAAGUAUUUCUUAUUCCUCGUAGAUGAUUAUUCUAGGAAGGCUUGGAUUUAUCCUUUAAAGGCUAGGUCAGAAACCUUUCAGAAGUUCAGGACAUGGCUAAGAAUUGUUGAAAAUCAAUUAGAGAAAAAAAACUAAAAACUCUAAGAACUGAUAAUGGGCUGGAGUUCUGUAAUGCAGAAUUUGAUAAUUUCUGUAAGCAGAAAGGGAUAUUGAGGCAUAGGACUGUGAAAUACACAACCCAACAAAAUAAGGUAGCUAGGAGAAUGAACAGGACUAUAAUGAAUAAGGUUAGAUGCAUGCUUAUCAGUUUUGGUGUGGCUAAAGUUUUGGGCUGAAGCUGCCUAUACAAUAGUCUAUUUGAUUAAUAGAUCUUUUUCUAGUAGUGUAGACUUCGAAACCCCACAAGAACUAUGGACAGGUGAAUCCCAAAACUUAACCCAUAUAAGAGUUUUUGGAUGUGCAGUAUAUGCAAUUCAAUCUGAAGGAAAAUUGGAACCUACAACCACCAAAUGUGUGAUGCUAGGAUAUCCAGAAGAUGUUAAAGGCUACAGGUUGUGGGUUUUCGGUGUUCCAUGCAUUAAGAUUAUCAAUAGGAGAGAUGUAAUCUUCAACGAAUUAGAAAUUUCAUGCCUAAAACAAAAAUUUAAAGGAACAAAUGAAUUUGAAAAUAAUAAGAUAUUCAUAGUGAGGUGAAGUUAACUAAAUUUAACUUACCUCAACCUGAAGAUGAUGAAAAUACUACUAUUUAUCAUCAGAAUGAACCUGUUCCUGAAUGUGUUGAAGCUAAAGAACCCUAAUUUGAGGCUGAACUUGAAGAACCUGAACAAAUUACCGAACAUACUGAUAUUCAAGAUUGUCAACUCAUUAAGGAUAGGGUAAGAAGACAACCUAGACAUGAUCCUAGGUAUGAACUAUUAAAUCUAAUAGACUUUGCCUUAGUCUCUAAAGAAAAAAUAGAACAAGCUGAACUUGCCUCUUAUGAAGAAGCAAUUCAUGGGAAAAAUUCUGAAAAUUGGAUAAAGGCCGUGAGAGGGGAGAUGCAGUCCUUAAAUGAAAAUAAAACUUGGAAGCUUGUUAGAAAACUAAAGGAUCAUAGGGUAGUACAAUGUAAAUGGAUUCACAAACUUAAAGAGGGCAAUAGCCCAACUAAUAUUUUUAGGUUUAAGACUAGACUAGUGGCAAAGGGGUAUACUUAGAAAGAAGGGGUUGAUUACAAUAAGAUAUUCUUACCCGUAAUCAAAUAUAAAAUCAUCAGAUUGAUACUAGCACUAGUUCUCAAAUAUAAUUGGGAACUUGAACAACUUGAUGUGAAAAUCGCCUUCUUCCAUGGAAAAUUAGAAGAGGAUAUCUUCAUGAGCCAACCUCAAGAUUUUGAGAUUAAGGGCAAGAUUGAUUAUGUAUGAAAACUUGAAAAAUCAUUGUAUGAACUGAAACAAAGUCCUAGACAAUGGUAAAAAAGGUUUGAUGCAUAUGUAUUAAGAAGUGAAUUUGAUGCUUGCUUGUACUAUAACAACCUGAAAAGUGGUGGUGAAGUUUACUUACUAUUGUAUGUGGAUGAUAUGCUUCUGGCUAGUCCUGAUAAGUCUCAAAUUACAAGAUUAAAGGAUCUUUUGAAAUAUGAAUUUGAUAUGAAAGACUUAGAAUGUGCUAGAAAAAUCUUAGGAAUGGUUAUAAAGAGGAAUGGACUUGAAAAUAGACUAACAAUUACACAAGAAAUAUAUCUAAACAAAUUAGUAACCAGGUUUGGAAUGAAAGAUAGUAAAUUUGUUAAUGUACCCCUUGCAGACCACAUGAACCUAUCUAAAUCUCAGUCCCCUAAAUCUGAAGAAGUAAAGGAAAUGGAAAACAUACCCUAUGUAAAUGCAAUAGGCUCUGUAAUGUUUUCAAUGAUAACCACCAUACCUGACCUUGCUUAUGCAAUCAGAUUCUUAAAUAGAUUUAUGUCCAACCCUGACAAGGCUCAUUAGGCAGGAAUGAAAUGGUUGCUUAGAUAUAUUGUUGUUACAUUAAAUCUAGAACUAGUUUAUGAGAAAAGAUUUGAAAAUGUAACCCUAAAAGGUUAUGUAAAUGCUGACUUUGCUGAUGACAAAGACAGUAGGAAAUCAACUAUAGCUUCUUCUUCUUUUCUUUUUUUUUUCUUUUUUUUUUUGUACUCUUAGGAAAAGUUGCAUAACUUGAAAAUCUCAAUUGCAACCAUUAGUUACAUUGUCUAGGACGGAAGCUGAGUAUGUAGCCAUAAUUGAAGCUGUGAAAGAAUGUAUUUUGUUAAGGGAGAUUUUAAAAGAACUGAACGUUAUGAAUCAUACUCUUGUUAUAUAUACAAAUAGCUAGAGUGCUCUAUUACUUUGUGAAAAUCCUGUCUAUCAUGAAAGAUCAAAAUAUAUUGAGAUGAAGUAUCAUUUUAAAAGAGAACAACUAUCUCAAGGAAAAGUUAAAUUGACUAAAGUUCGUAUCGAUAAAAAUCCUUCUCAUAUGGGGACCAAAGUUUUGCCCAUAUGUAAGUUUAAAAUAUGUUUACUCUUGCUUUAUAUUGACACAGGUUAAUUUUCUUUUGCAGGUCUUAGGGAAAUGAUGAUGGAUAGUAGUUCCACGGGCACUUUCAGCAACCAGAGAACGAGUGCUGUUGAGAAUCAAGGUGAAGAACGUGAACAUUUGUGUUUCUUCAAACACUCUAAAAGAGUGCUAUUUCUGUCAAUUGGUCUAUUUCACCUAUUUAAAUGAACAUUCCUGAUUGGCAAAUACUGGUUGGCCGGUUGAUGUUCACUCGGACUGCGCUAGUUUAGACCCUUUCUGGACCGUUGGAUUUAAUCAAGGGUUGAGAAGAUGCCUUGGAAAAUGAAGCGUUCUUUUUCUCGGACAAAAGUUACGAGACUUUUUGAUACUUCAGAUUUUUCAUCUUCUCUCUUCUGGUUUUCUCUCUUCUUCGUCUUUUUAGGUCUAAAAUUUUUCUUCUCUAUUUGUAAGGUUUAUAUGAUUGAUCAAAUGGAGUUUGUAGGUCUCGUGUACAGUCAGGCCUGAAAUAUUGGCUGAUCUUGUAUUGUUAAACUCCAAAAAUGUUUGGUUGAUUUGUUUGAUCAAUUUGAGAAUGUUUCAUGAGAUCGAUUCGAUCACUGAGUGAAACAUUGUGGUUUGAGUGGUUAUUGAUGUACUCUUACUCUCUUGGACGGUAGAUUAUGUUAUAGUGGAAUGGGCUAUCCCUGAGCCCCCCAAAUUAGGCCUAUUUUUGUUGAACCAGGUCAAUAUUUUUGGUGUUCUUGUGUUCAUUUUAUGAUUCUUUGUGUGUGAUGUUUGUUUUGAUUUCAAAUCUUUUUAAAAAUCAACCAUAAAUUCCCAACACUAUGCCUUUAGGUUUUAGUGGAGUGAUAGGUAGGGAGAGGUUCACUGAUGAGAAAUGAAGGAAGCAGCAAAUGUUGGAAUUGGAGGUUUUCCCAAAGAGGUUGGAGUUGGUGCAGGAUCAGAUUAUAGCAUAAUUUGAGGAAAACUCAGGUCUAUAUGGAGCUUUUUUUUUUCAUUUUUUUUUUUUUUUGCAGCUUUUUUGUUCCAAGUUCAUUUUUGACAUUUAGAUAUUAUAUAUCUGUUUGUAUUUAUGGUACAUAUAUUUUGUACAAGUGAUAUGUAAUUAUGGAUUCUCGCAGAUCUUGUUGAAAAUCAUUUUGGGUUUAUAAACUUCCUCUCAGCUUAUUUUGUUGUCAGUCAGGUAAAGAGGAAAAUUGUUGGGUUUUUUCAAUUUGAUCUUAUCAGAAAAUUGUUGUUUGUUUUGACAUAUGGAUUUUGCAGUUUUAUGAAAAAAUGAAUUUGAAAUUUAUUUUACUGGGGUGUUAUUCAUUGAGUUAUUGUUUAGAAGUGAUUACUUGGUUUUUAUGAACAUCUGAUGGCGUGAAUGGUUUGGUUAUAUGAGUUUUUGACUGAUUGCAAUGGAGGACGUGUCUAAUUAUGUUAAGAAAAGCCUUGAGUAGAUCACAUGCUAUACUUAUUCUUCGUUUUGGGAGAAAAAUAUGAUUUUUGUUGUCUUUUAGGGAUGGGUAGGUUGUGUGAUGAAAAGUUAAAAUUAAGCUGUUGUGAGAAUUUGUUAACUUACAAUCAGAAAUUAAUUUUUAUUUUGUUAAUAUUUCUCCUUUUUUUUUAUAUUUUUUCAUUUCUCUGUCUCAUCUCUCUAAUUUUUAUGUAGGUAUAUGUUUAUUGUACUUUAUGUAACCAUGUGUUUUCUGUUUCUAUGAAUUCUGGUUUCAAUUUUUUGUUCUCUUGAAUUAAUCAUUAUUUUUCUUAAAAUUUUGAUUGAUUAUAGAGUUUCGUUUCAGAUUUACAUAAACUAACCAUCGUAUUAAUUUUGUUAAAAGAUAGUCGUCUUCUAUAAAAAUUAAUGAAAUUUCAUGGAGUUUUCCAUUUAAAACAUUGAAUUCUUAACAAAACAAAAACUAAAUAAAAAUUAAUGGGGCGGGGGCAAGUACGGAUAACGGGGCGGAAUUCCCCGCCUCGAAUACCCCCGAUUAAGCAAGUAAUCACCAUCCCAUUUGAGACGGGGCCUUAGGUAUCGGGUUUGGCUAUUUUUUUCUAUCCCAACAUUGAAAUUAGGUUAUUGUUGAUAGAACUAUGAAAUUUCCUCUUUAUUUUUUCCUUCCAAUCUGUGUAAUCUGCCACCAGGGAGUCCAAGUCCAUUUAGCUUCUGUUUGGCCCCCCAUUAAUUUCCACUUCAUUACAUUUCAUUUUUUUCUCUCCUAUUUUCAACCACACAAUCUUUCGUAAAAUAAUAUUACACAUAAAUUAAAAACAUAUUCUUUUUCAACCACACAUUAAAAAAAUAUAUAUAUUCUACCCAUUUUCAUUUCCACAAAAUGAGGACCAAGUGGGAUAGACUUCAUUCCACUUUAACAAUUGGGUCAAGGCCCCCAAUUAAUGUAUUAUUUCUCUCAAGGGCUCAUUUCUUCCAAAUACUGUAAUUUAGUUCUUGAUAAAAAUUAAUUUGUGCAAUCCAUGUCCUCUUUAAUUCAAUUUAAGCCCUUCAAUUUCUAAAGAGUGAAAUUUGAUCCCCCAAAGCAGCAAAUUUUAUUCAAUUUCGUAUUUCUUGAUCAAUAUUUGCUUUGAUCCCGAGUUUUCUCCUAACAUAAUCCAAACACAAAUAAUUAAGUAUCAAAUUCACAAUAAUACUAACAAAUGCCCAUUUCGUGGCUUAGAUAAGUGUAAAUUUUACACUUAUUAGGAGUAUGUAAAUGAUUUCUAUUAAAUGAAAAUUAUAGUAACUAGUUGACGCUGAAAUACAUAUACUAGCAAACACAUAACAGCGAAUCGAUGAAAAUAACUUCGAAUUUGUCAUUGUGUUAAACACACUUUACGGAAUGUGGAAUGUCCCUAUAACAAAUUUUCCAAGAAAAUGUGAGAAUCUUUUUCAUGAAUAAGUUAGGAAACAAGAAAGGAUUAAACUAAUUGGAGAAGGGAUACAAGUUUUGGCAAAGAAAAAUUAUUCAAAUUAAAAGGCACGACUAUUUCCAAAAGAAGUUAAAAGAUAAUAUCUUUUAACUCAACCACCUUAUGAAAUUCAAAUUUUGUUCUAAUUUCUUCCUUCUAUAUCAUUUCAAGAGAGACGAUAUAAUUUCUUCAUUCAUACUCCAACAUAUUUAACUUCAUCAUUAUUCAAUAUAUGCUAGUGCACAUUACAUAAUUAAGACAGCAAACAUUAUACAACAUUACACUCUCAAACCACUUCUAAAUUUACAUAUUUAUUGGCAUCAUAUUCAUCCACGAAGUUGUAUAUAUAACGCGUAAAUGCUACACUUUGUCGAGCUAGAUUCAGCUUGGAGGCUUAAUUUAAGGUUGUGCAUCCCUCAUUCCACCAGCAUUCUUGCUGCCUCCUCCACCUCCGGACGAACCUCCUUUUGUAUAGCCUGCAGGAUAACCUCCACCUCCAGGAUAGCCUCCUGGAUAGCCUCCUGGAUAGCCAGGCCACCAACCUCCAGGUCCUGGCCAAUACUCUUAUUCACAAAAACAUUAACACAAUUCAUGUUAGCCAUUAAUACAUGUAUACUAUAUUAAUUUAUGCUCAUCAUAAAACAAAUUUAUAAAACACAGAACUUACGAUGAUCUGCUGUCGCUUUUGAUGUAAUCAGAAGAACUACAGCCAAGAAAAUGCAAAAAGUAAUUGUCUUGGAGCCCAUUUUUCUCUCCAAGAAUUUUCUUAUACUUUUUCUUAAUGAGUAUUUUGGUGUGUCAAGCCUCUAUUUAUAGCUAAAAUCUGGACAGAAAAGAGAGAGAGAGAGAGAGAGAUUUGCUAUUUGAGGUAAGUAGAGUACGUCUUGACUUGGUCUACCUUAUCCUCGACCUUUCAGGGUUUACUUGUUUGCAUUAGGGGGGAAAUAGAGAUGAUCAUGUAGUGCCGAAUUUCACCAACCGUCGAAAUUUAAUAUCAUAAAUAAGUUAAUGUCACACGAUGAAGUGCCUAAUUUAUUUUCAAUAUAUCCUAUAACUUAGUCGAGAAUAGUCUGCAUACAAGGGCCUGUUCUAUGUGAUCUAAUACCAUAUUUUUCUAUUUUCUUGUAGUUUAUUUCAGAAAAUUGACGCAG
rnacentral:lncRNA from 1 species